CCGGCCUAAAACAAUUCUUUAACUCUUUAAUCUAGUGUUUAAUUGACCAGGAAUGUAUUUCGAGGUGUGAUGUGAGACAAGGAUCUGAAAUGCUUCGCCCACUGAAUCAUCAUGCACUGACCGAAAUGCCACCUGUAUGAGUGCUAAAAUAAUUGUCGCGGGACCUGUGUCUGCACUGUUUAAUUUUACUGUUGUUUCUCACAUCAGCUUCUGUUGUUUUCAUGGUUGUGGUUCUCAUACUUUUAAUAUCUGUUGGAGCAAAUCAAAAAUGUCUUAUGUAUGUGAACUUUGGUGUUAUUUGUCAAGUCUGGGCAUUCUCC
rnacentral:lncRNA from 1 species